rnacentral:rRNA from 1 species
GACACGUGGUAUCCUGUCUGAAUAUGGGGGGACCAUCCUCCAAGGCUAAAUACUCCUGACUGACCGAUAGUGAACCAGUACCGUGAGGGAAAGGCGAAAAGAACCCCGGCGAGGGGAGUGAAAAAGAACCUGAAACCGUGUACGUACAAGCAGUGGGAGCACAGGUUUACCUGUGUGACUGCGUACCUUUUGUAUAAUGGGUCAGCGACUUAUAUUCUGUAGCAAGGUUAACCGMAUAGGGGAGCCGGAGGGAAACCGAGUCUUAAUUGGGCGUUAAGUUGCAGGGUAUAGACCCGAAACCCGGUGAUCUAGCCAUGGGCAGGUUGAAGGUUGGGUAACACUAACUGGAGGACCGAACCGACUAAUGUUGAAAAAUUAGCGGAUGACCUGUGGCUGGGGGUGAAAGGCCAAUCAAACCGGGAGAUAGCUGGUUCUCCCCGAAAGCUAUUUAGGUAGCGCCUCGUGAAUUCAUCUCCGGGGGUAGAGCACUGUUUCGGCUAGGGGGCCAUCCCGGCUU